CUCCCAAGAAAAUCCGCUAAACUUAAUCUUACAGGUACCCGUACCGUAAACGGACACACGUAGUCGGGUUGAAUAUACUCAGGCGCUUGAGUGAAUCACGGUUAAGGAACUAGGCAAAUUGACCCUGUAACUUCGGGAUAAAGGGUCCCUACCCGGUGACGGGAGGGCGCAGAGAAUAGGUCCAGGCAACUGUUUAACAAAAACACAGGGCUGUGCAAAAUUGAAAGAUCACGUAUACAGCCUGACACCUGCCCGGUGCUGGAAGGUUAAGAGGAGAUGUCAUCGCAAGAGAAGCAUUGAAUUGAAGCCCCAGUAAACGGCGGCCGUAACUAUAACGGUCCUAAGGUAGCGAAAUUCCUUGUCGGGUAAGUUCCGACCUGCACGAAUGGUGUAAUGAUCUGGACACUGUCUCAACCGUGAGCUCAGUGAAAUUGUAGUAUCGGUGAAGAUGCCGAUUACCCGCGAUGGGACGAAAAGACCCCGUGAACCUUUACUAUAGCUUAACAUUGAAUUUGGGUAAUUGAUGUGUAGGAUAGGCCGGAGACUUUGAAGCAGGCACGCCAGUGUUUGUGGAGCCGCUGUUGAAAUACGGCCCUUUGGUUAUUUGAGUUCUAACUCGCUGAUGCGAGGACACUGUUUGGUGGGUAGUUUGACUGGGGUGGUCGCCUCCAAAAGCGUAACGGAGGCUUCUAAAGGUGCCCUCACGCCGAUUGGUAACCGGCGGUAGAGUGUAAUGGCAUAAGGGCGCUUGACUGGGAGACUUACAAGUCGAUCAGGUAGGAAACUAGAGCAUAGUGAUCCGGUGUUUCCGUAUGGAAGGGACAUCGCUCAAAGGAUAAAAGGUACUCCGGGGAUAACAGGCUGAUCCCUCCCAAGAGCUCAUAUCGACGGAGGGGUUUGGCACCUCGAUGUCGGCUCGUCACAUCCUGGGGCUGGAGAAGGUCCCAAGGGUUGGGCUGUUCGCC
rnacentral:rRNA from 1 species